ACCGAGAAAUAAGAAAAUGAGAGCUCCAGAUUCCGCGGAGAGAGAGAGAUCUGAAGAGUCGAUGAGAGGAGUACUUUGUGGAGAGAGAUUAGUACUUUUAAGGAGCAGAGAACAUCGAGAAGAUCGUCGCCUGCCUGGGUUUAUUCAACAACGAAAAAAAUCAGUGUUUAGAUAUAUAGAUAAAAGCUAUGCAGAAGCAGCAACUUAUGAGUGAGUUUGAUUUCUGAGUUUUCGAUACUUCUUAUGCGGAUGAAAAAUAAUAAGAAAUGAAAAAGGGCAAAAUGUAAUUAAAAUAAAAAUAAUAAUUAAAGAAAAAACCUACCUGUGUGCUUGUUAUUUGCUAAUAAGAGGAGCCAGCUUUUCUCGGUUCGGCCGUUAAAUGUGUUGAACUGAAAGCUGGAGUCACUUCUUGACCUUUGGAUUUGGAUUUUUCUGCACCUGCACCAUAUCCAUU
rnacentral:lncRNA from 1 species